GUCUAUGGCCAUACCAUCAUGAACACUCCUAUUCUCACUGGAUCUUGGAAGCUAAGCUGAGCCAGACCUGGUUAGUACUUACAUGGGAGCUGAAAGCU
ensembl:rRNA 5S_rRNA 5S ribosomal RNA